rfam:Blautia sp. YL58, complete genome.
UGAUAGCUGUGAAGCGCGAGGUUGCUGCCAAAUGGCAGGUUUUCCGUGGAGCGAAUGUCAAGUUAGGAAACUGACGACAA